rnacentral:rRNA from 1 species
GAUGAACGCUGGCGGCAUGCCUAACACAUGCAAGUCGGACGGGAAGUGGUGUUUCCCGUGGCGGUCGGGCGAGUAACGCGUAAGAACCUGCCCUUGGGAGGGGAACAACAGCUGGAAACGGCUGCUAAUACCCCGUAGGUUGAGGAGCAAACGGAGGAAUCCGCCCGAGGGGGGGCGUGCGCCUGAUUAACUAGUUGGUGAGGCAAUAGCUUACCAAGGCGGUGAUCAGUAGCUGGUCCGAGAGGAGGAUCAGCCACACUGGGACUGGGAUACGGAGCGGGCAACUUCGGGAGGCGGGAGUGGGGAUGAUCCAGCAAUGCGCGGUGGCCUAAGAGGGCCAUGCGGCGGGGAAGUAGAAUGCGCAGGGGUCAAGAGCUGCAUUUUAAGGAGAAGAUGCUAUGACGGUACCUGGAGAAUAAGCACCGGCUAACUCCGUG